GACGAACGCUUGCGGCGUGCUUAACACAUGCAAGUCGAACGGAAAGGCCCUGCUUUUGUGGGGUGCUCGAGUGGCGAACGGGUGAGUAACACGUGAGUAACCUGCCCUUGACUUUGGGAUAACUUCAGGAAACUGGGGCUAAUACCGGAUAGGAGCUCCUGCUGCAUGGUGGGGGUUGGAAAGUUUCGGCGGUUGGGGAUGGACUCGCGGCUUAUCAGCUUGUUGGUGGGGUAGUGGCUUACCAAGGCUUUGACGGGUAGCCGGCCUGAGAGGGUGACCGGCCACAUUGGGACUGAGAUACGGCCCAGACUCCUACGGGAGGCAGCAGUGGGGAAUAUUGCACAAUGGGCGGAAGCCUGAUGCAGCAACGCCGCGUGCGGGAUGACGGCCUUCGGGUUGUAAACCGCUUUCGCCUGUGACGAAGCGUGAGUGACGGUAAUGGGUAAAGAAGCACCGGCUAACUACGUGCCAGCAGCCGCGGUGAUACGUAGGGUGCGAGCGUUGUCCGGAUUUAUUGGGCGUAAAGGGCUCGUAGGUGGUUGAUCGCGUCGGAAGUGUAAUCUUGGGGCUUAACCCUGAGCGUGCUUUCGAUACGGGUUGACUUGAGGAAGGUAGGGGAGAAUGGAAUUCCUGGUGGAGCGGUGGAAUGCGCAGAUAUCAGGAGGAACACCAGUGGCGAAGGCGGUUCUCUGGGCCUUUCCUGACGCUGAGGAGCGAAAGCGUGGGGAGCGAACAGGCUUAGAUACCCUGGUAGUCCACGCUGUAAACGGUGGGUACUAGGUGUGGGGUCCAUUCCACGGGUUCCGUGCCGUAGCUAACGCUUUAAGUACCCCGCCUGGGGAGUACGGCCGCAAGGCUAAAACUCAAAGGAAUUGACGGGGCCCCGCACAAGCGGCGGAGCAUGCGGAUUAAUUCGAUGCAACGCGUAGAACCUUACCUGGGUUUGACAUGGAUCGGGAGUGCUCAGAGAUGGGUGUGCCUCUUUUGGGGUCGGUUCACAGGUGGUGCAUGGCUGUCGUCAGCUCGUGUCGUGAGAUGUUGGGUUAAGUCCCGCAACGAGCGCAACCCUUGUUCACUGUUGCCAGCACGUUAUGGUGGGGACUCAGUGGAGACCGCCGGGGUCAACUCGGAGGAAGGUGGGGAUGACGUCAAGUCAUCAUGCCCCUUAUGUCCAGGGCUUCACGCAUGCUACAAUGGCUGGUACAGAGAGUGGCGAGCCUGUGAGGGUGUGCGAAUCUCGGAAAGCCGGUCUCAGUUCGGAUUGGGGUCUGCAACUCGACCUCAUGAAGUCGGAGUCGCUAGUAAUCGCAGAUCAGCAACGCUGCGGUGAAUACGUUCCCGGG
rnacentral:rRNA from 1 species